UACGUAGGGCGCAAGCGUUGUCCGGAAUUAUUGGGCGUAAAGAGCUCGUAGGCGGUUCGUCGCGUCGGCUGUGAAAUCCCGAGGCUCAACCUCGGGUCUGCAGUCGAUACGGGCGGACUGGAGUUCGGCAGGGGAGACUGGAAUUCCUGGUGUAGCGGUGAAAUGCGCAGAUAUCAGGAGGAACACCGGUGGCGAAGGCGGGUCUCUGGGCCGAUACUGACGUGGAGGAGCGAAAGCGUGGGGAGCGAACAGG
rnacentral:rRNA from 1 species